rnacentral:rRNA from 1 species
CACGUAGGGGGCAAGCGUUGUCCGGAUUUAUUGGGCGUAAAGAGCUCGUAGGCGGCUUAGUAAGUCGGGUGUGAAACCUCCAGGCUCAACCUGGAGACGCCACCCGAUACUGCUGUGGCUAGAGUCCGGUAGUGGAGCGUGGAAUUCCUGGUGUAGCGGUGGAAUGCGCAGAUAUCAGGAGGAACACCGAUGGCGAAGGCGGCUCACUGGCCCGAUACUGACGCUGAGGUGCGAAAGCGUGGGGAGCAAACAGG